rnacentral:ncRNA from 1 species
AGUCCACAUCGACGGGGAGGUUUGGCACCUCGAUGUCGGCUCAUCGCAUCCUGGGGCUGAAGUAGGUCCCAAGGGUUGGGCUGUUCGCCCAUUAAAGCGGUACGCGAGCUGGGUUCAGAACGUCGUGAGACAGUUCGGUCCCUAUCUGUCGCGGGCGCAGGAAGUUUGAGGAGAGCUGUCCUUAGUACGAGAGGACCGGGAUGGACGCACCGCUGGUGCACCAGUUGUCACGCCAGUGGCACAGCUGGGUAGCUAUGUGCGGAAGGGAUAAGCGCUGAAAGCAUCUAAGCGUGAAGCCCCCUCCAAGAUGAGACUUCCCACAGCGUUAAGCUGGUAAGACCCCUCAUAGACGAUGAGGUUGAUAGGUUCGGUGUGGAAGCGCGGCAACGCGUGGAGCUGACGAAUACUAAUCGGUCGAGGACUUAUCCAC